CAGUCGCCACGGUAAUACGUAGGGUGCAAGCGUUAAUCGGAAUUACUGGGCGUAAAGCGUGCGCAGGCGGUUAUAUAAGACAGAUGUGAAAUCCCCGGGCUCAACCUGGGAACUGCAUUUGUGACUGUAUAGCUAGAGUACGGCAGAGGGGGAUGGAAUUCCGCGUGUAGCAGUGAAAUGCGUAGAUAUGCGGAGGAACACCGAUGGCGAAGGCAAUCUUCUGGGCCUGUACUGACGCUCAUGCACGAAAGCGUGGGGAGCAAACAGGAUUAGAUACCCCUGUAGUCCCUGUCUCUUAUAC
rnacentral:rRNA from 1 species